rnacentral:rRNA from 1 species
AGUAAUACAUCGGAACGUGCCCAGUCGUGGGGGAUAACGUAGCGAAAGCUACGCUAAUACCGCAUACGAUCUAUGGAUGAAAGCGGGGGACCGUAAGGCCUCGCGCGAUUGGAGCGGCCGAUGGCAGAUUAGGUAGUUGGUGGGGUAAAGGCUCACCAAGCCUUCGAUCUGUAGCUGGUCUGAGAGGACGACCAGCCACACUGGGACUGAGACACGGCCCAG